rnacentral:rRNA from 1 species
AGCGAACGCUGGCGGCAGGCUUAACACAUGCAAGUCGAACGGGCUUCUUCGGAAGUCAGUGGCAGACGGGUGAGUAACACGUGGGAACGUGCCCUUCGGUUCGGAAUAACUCAGGGAAACUUGAGCUAAUACCGGAUACGCCCUUUUGGGGAAAGGUUGACUGCCGCAGGAUCGGCCCGCGUCUGAUUAUCUUGUUGGUGGGGUAACGGCCUACCAAGGCGACGAUCAGUAGCUGGUCUGAGAGGAUGAUCAGCCACACUGGGACUGAGACACGGCCCAGACUCCUACGGGAGGGAGCAGUGGGGAAUAUUGGACAGUGGGCGCAAGCCUGAUCCAGCCAUGCCGGGUGAGUGAUGAAGGCCUUAGGGUUGUAAAGCUCUUUUGUCCGGGACGAUAAUGACGGUACCGGAAGAAUAAGCCCCGGCUAACUUCGUG